GGGAAGGUGGCUCAGUGGUAGAGUACUUGCCUUGCAUGCCUGAGGCCCUGGGUUCGAUUCCUCAGCCCCA
rnacentral:tRNA from 1 species